rnacentral:tRNA from 1 species
CCGUAGCUCAGCUGGAUAGAGCAACAGAUUUCUAAUCUGUCGGCCGUGGGUUCGAAUCCCGCCGG